AGUAAAAUUUAGUUAUUGAUAAUUAACUUUUUUCAGAUUUACUA
rnacentral:tRNA from 1 species